AGCUGUGCUGCUCUGGUCCGGGCUCUGAAGUCCAACCCCCCCUAUCUGAAACAUGUGGAUCUAAUAGGAGACAACCUACAGGAAUCAGGAAUGAAACAACUGUGUGAUUACCUGGAGAGUCCACACUGUAGACUGGAGACCUUAAGGCUGACCUCUACUUUGCUUUAGAUGCUGUACUGGGAUCGAGACACGCAGUGACGUCUGCAGAGGGAUUCUUUAAGUCAAAGACUGACUCUACCCAGACUUCCUGAAUCUGUUCCAGAAGGGACAAAGACAGUGU